rnacentral:rRNA from 1 species
CGCGGCCUAUCAGCUUGUUGGCGAGGUAACGGCUCACCAAGGCAACGACGGGUAGCUGGUCUGAGAGGAUGGCCAGCCACAUUGGGACUGAGAUACGGCCCAGACUCCUACGGGAGGCAGCAGUGGGGAAUCUUGCGCAAUGGCCUAACGGCUGACGCAGCGACGCCGCGUGUAGGAUGAAGCUCUUCGGAGUGUAAACUACUGUUGCCCGGGACGAAUAGCUCGAUUAAUCGAGCCUGACAGUACCGGGUGAGGAAGCACCGGCUAACUCCGUGCCAGCAGCCGCGGUAAUACGGGGGGUGCGAGCGUUGUCCGGAAUCACUGGGCGUAAAGGGCGCGUAGGUGGUUUGAUAAGGGUGUGGUGAAAGUCCGGGGCUCAACCCGGGAUCUGCCGUGCCGACUGUCAAACUCGAGGACUGUAGAGGCAGACGGAAUUCCGGGUGUAGCGGUGGAAUGCGUAGAGAUCCGGAGGAAGACCGGUGGCGAAGGCGGUCUGCUGGGCAGUUUCUGACACUGAGGCGCGACAGCGUGGGGAGCAAACAGGAUUAGAUACCCUGGUAGUCCACGCCGUAAACGAUGGGUACUAGGUGCCUGGGGGAGCGACCCUCUGGGUGCCGGCGCUAACGCAGGAAGUACCCCGCCUGGGGAGUACG